rnacentral:rRNA from 1 species
GAGGGAAAGGUGAAAAGCACCCCGGAAGGGGAGUGAAAUAGAACCUGAAACCGUGUGCUUACAAGUAGUCAGAGCCCGUUAAUGGGUGAUGGCGUGCCUUUUGUAGAAUGAACCGGCGAGUUACGAUUUGAUGCAAGGUUAAGCAGUAAAUGUGGAGCCGUAGCGAAAGCGAGUCUGAAUAGGGCGUUUAGUAUUUGGUCGUAGACCCGAAACCAGGUGAUCUACCCUUGGUCAGGUUGAAGUUCAGGUAACACUGAAUGGAGGACCGAACCGACUUACGUUGAAAAGUGAGCGGAUGAACUGAGGGUAGCGGAGAAAUUCCAAUCGAACCUGGAGAUAGCUGGUUCUCUCCGAAAUAGCUUUAGGGCUAGCCUCAAGUGAUGAUUAUUGGAGGUAGAGCACUGUUUGGACGAGGGGCCCCUCUCGGGUUACCGAAUUCAGACAAACUCCGAAUGCCAAUUAAUUUAACUUGGGAGUCAGAACAUGGGUGAUAAGGUCCGUGUUCGAAAGGGAAACAGCCCAGACCACCAGCUAAGGUCCCAAAAUAUAUGUUAAGUGGAAAAGGAUGUGGCGUUGCCCAGACAACUAGGAUGUUGGCUUAGAAGCAGCCAUCAUUUAAAGAGUGCGUAAUAGCUCACUAGUCGAGUGACACUGCGCCGAAAAUGUACCGGGGCUAAACAUAUUACCGAAGCUGUGGAUUGUCCUUUGGACAAUGGUAGGAGAGCGUUCUAAGGGCGUUGAAGCAUGAUCGUAAGGACAUGUGGAGCGCUUAGAAGUGAGAAUGCCGGUGUGAGUAGCGAAAGACGGGUGAGAAUCCCGUCCACCGAUUGACUAAGGUUUCCAGAGGAAGGCUCGUCCGCUCUGGGUUAGUCGGGUCCUAAGCUGAGGCCGACAGGCGUAGGCGAUGGAUAACAGGUUGAUAUUCCUGUACCACCUAUAAUCGUUUUAAUCGAUGGGGGGACGCAGUAGGAUAGGCGAAGCGUGCGAUUGGAUUGCACGUCUAAGCAGUAAGGCUGAGUAUUAGGCAAAUCCGGUACUCGUUAAGGCUGAGCUGUGAUGGGGAGAAGACAUUGUGUCUUCGAGUCGUUGAUUUCACACUGCCGAGAAAAGCCUCUAGAUAGAAAAUAGGUGCCCGUACCGCAAACCGACACAGGUAGUCAAGAUGAGAAUUCUAAGGUGAGCGAGCGAACUCUCGUUAAGGAACUCGGCAAAAUGACCCCGUAACUUCGGGAGAAGGGGUGCUCUUUAGGGUUAACGCCCAGAAGAGCCGCAGUGAAUAGGCCCAAGCGACUGUUUAUCAAAAACACAGGUCUCUGCUAAACCGUAAGGUGAUGUAUAGGGGCUGACGCCUGCCCGGUGCUGGAAGGUUAAGAGGAGUGGUUAGCUUCUGCGAAGCUACGAAUCGAAGCCCCAGUAAACGGCGGCCGUAACUA